rnacentral:lncRNA from 1 species
UUUGGGGGUGGGGAAGGGUGUACAUCUGCCCUGCUGCAGCGUGAGUUGGACAAGCUCCUCCAAGAUGCUGGGCUGUCCUCUGUGAUAACUCCCUCCCAACAGCAAAAUGCAGAUCGCAGCAGAGGAUGCUCUCCCCACCCCCACACCCACCCCGUGAGCCUGGCAGUGUGCCCAGGCAGCCUGCCCCUGCGCUCCCAGGACAGUCCCUACCUCUGUGGCUCCCUUCCUUCUUUCUUUCCUUCCUUCUUCCCUUUCUUGGCUUUUAUUUUAAAAUGUUUUCUUCCCGUUUCUUUGUUUUAUUUUUAUUUCUUGUUUUUUUUUUUUUUUUUUUUUUUUUUUUUUUUUUUUGCCCUUUUUGAGACAAGGAUAGCCAAGAACUCACUGUAUAGACCAGUUGUCCUUAAAUUCCUGAUCCUCUUGCCUGUACCUUGCCAACUGCUGACAUUACAAGCGUAUGUCACCACACCCUGAUAAAAGCAUGAACAGCGCUGUGGGCUGGAAUAGUGUUCUCACAACCUAGGACCCAAGUGCUUCAGAAAUCGUUUGAAUGGAUUGCAUGGGACAACUCAUUUAAUUUCUUUUGUUUUGUUUUUUUUUUUUUAAUUUUAGAUGCAUGUGUGUUUUGACUGCAUGCAUGUUUGUGCACCAUACCUGUAGAUGCCUGGGAAUGAGGUUACAGCUGGUUGUAAGCUACCUACCAUGUGGGUGCUGGGAAUUGAACUUGGGUCCCCGGGAAGAGUAGCCAGUGUUCUUAACCACUGUGCUAUCACUUUGAGCCGGAAAAACGAAUUCUUCCCCCACACCACAGCCCCCCGGGCUGGGGCCUGAACCCGGAGCUUUAUAUAACCUAGGCAAGCGUUCUGCCUUUAUUAUUUUCACAGUGCUGGGGACUGAACCCACAGCCUCUUACACACUCAGCAAGUCUCUUACACGCUAAGCCAGUGCUCUCUGCCUUUGAACUGUACCCUGGGGAUUCUAGGCAGGCGGUUUACUGCUGAGCUACUCUGAAGCUUUGGUUUCUUCUCUGUGCUCUCCCUACCCAGACGCCUUAGGACUCUGUCCAUGGUGCUGGAGUUCCGGCCGGGCCGCACAGGAGUUGCUCCUCAGGUCCCAGGCAGCAGCUCAGGCAGGUCAGUCCCUCCGCAAAUCCGCAGGGGACACUUCUCCCCGAGGCCAGGUUUUGAUCCCUCUGAUUUGGUGUACCCAAAGGGAGCCCAGACGCUCCAAGUUCUGGGUUGCUAUGAGGAUACAUGUGGCUAAUUGUUUCAGGGAUGUGUCACUGU